UCGCCCUGGGAUCCCCUAAACCUCUUCUCUCCCGGGCACCGAGAGGCUGAGACGGGCUCCAGAUGGGUGUUUUGGGGGAGCAGGGGGAGGCCAAACAUCGCCACGGGGCAGCGGGUGAUGAUGCAGAGAAGCAGCCCCUGCUUUCCAGCAUCCCGCGGUUCUGCUUUCCCCUCCCAGCUGGAGAAGGAGGUUUUUAACGGGGUGCGGGUUUAAACGGUGUUGCACCCCCUCCCUCCACAGGUAGAGAUGUCUCAGCUGCCCCCCCGGAGCCAAGAAACGGGAGAAACGGGCAAUUUUUAUAGGUGACGUACGGGCUUACGUGGGAAUCCGUGCCCAGCACUGCUCUUUCAGCUUCUUUUUCUCCUGAAAUAACCCUUCCGUGAAGCUCGUACCCCCCUAUUCCAGCUCGCAAGCCCUUUUUCAGGCUGGGGAGGAGUCGGGGGAGAGGGAAGGAAAAGAGAAAAGCAAAGCACCCCAACAUCCCGCUCUUCCCCUGCUCGGGAAGCGAGCCCCGGAGCUCCCAAAGUGAGCGCUGAAGAGGGCGACAGGAGACAGGCGGGAGCCGGCUCCGAGCUGGAGGGGUCGGGGGUGGGAUGACAGCAGAGGAGGACCCUCCUUUUCGGGAUUAAGGGAGAACCAGCGGAGGAGGGAAGCUGGCGGCACCGCGGGCAUCCGAGAAAACCUGUCUGGGGAUCCCUGUGUAUUCAUCGGGGCGGCGAGAGACUCCCCAGAGCCGCUCCGGGGCAUCGGUGGAGUGAAUCGGAGAUAAAAAUUAGGAGCCAGUUUAAACGCAGGAAGGAAGAGGAGAGGUCGGAAGCGGAGCAAAGCUCCUGGCCGCCCUGCCCCGGCCGUGCCCGCACCUUGGAGCGGACGGACGGAAGGACGGACGGACGGAUGGCCGGCAUCCCCGACGGAGGGAUGUUUCUGUCUUUGGUUAUCUAGCUGUAUGAGUGUUGUGGAGCCAUCAUAAAGCUAGAUAACCGAAAGUAGAAAUGACUUCCAGACCUGCUCGCCCAGGGGAAGCGGCCGCACCAGGACCGGCAGUGCAGAGACGGCCCGACUCGCCGCCCUGGGGGCUCCAGACAUGACUGAGAGUUCCUGGAGUGGGAUGCCUUGGGAAGGGCUGGGACGUCUCCACCUGAGCAAGGAGAGAUCCCAGUGAGUGGACAAGGAACUUUUGAAGCCCGUGAGUUCCUUCUUCUAGUUGACUGCCGCCUGCCUGGACGUGCCAUCUGACUUCUCAGAGUUUCUCCAGGAGAGCCCCAAUCUGCUUCUCCAUUGGCCCCAGAGAGGAAACAGCUUUGUUUCGUGAACACAGUGGAUUUCUGCAUCAGUUCGACACACAGCGGUGCAGCCAUGGGGAGGGAGCCAGGGCAGCACAGGGAGCCAAGGGAUCAUCCCACGUCACUCCUGUAUGUUGCCUUCAGUGCCCUCAAUACCCCAGAGCAGGACCAAAGUGCUUAGGCAGAGAGACCUGAGCCAGUCGCUGUCUCACCUGCUGAAAUACCAGGUGUGUGAAGUUUGGCUUUGCUCAUGGAGCAGAGCUCGGCCCUUGCUGCUCUUGAUCCCUGGGUCUGUGGAGCUGUGAGAGCGCAGCCUUCCCAAAGGCACUGUGCUUGGGGCCCAUGAGGACCAUGAGCUUUUCCAGGCCAUGCAGCCCUGCUGCUGUUGUACCACACCCUCUCUGUUCCUGUAAGAGAAAUGUACUGCCUGUAAUUCUCUCCCAUUCAAAUCCUCCCAACCCCAUGCACUGUUGAAAAUAAACUCUCUCUUUUGCAAAAGCCA